rnacentral:rRNA from 1 species
UACAGAGGGUGCGAGCGUUAAUCGGAAUUACUGGGCGUAAAGCGCGCGUAGGCGGCUUUGCAAGUCGGGUGUGAAAUCCCCAGGCUUAACCUGGGAACUGCAUUCGAGACUGCAUUGCUAGAGUAUGGGAGAGGGAAGUGGAAUUUCCGGUGUAGCGGUGAAAUGCGUAGAUAUCGGAAGGAACACCAAUGGCGAAGGCAGCUCGCUGGGACGGUACUGACGCUGAGACGCGAAAGCGUGGGGAGCAAACAGG